ensembl:lncRNA
GAUGAAACUCAUUGUUAAGCAAGGGUGUUAAAAUCCAGCAGCAGGUUGGAAGGCAUGUGCUUCCAUAAGGCCAGGCUGGUUGGGACCUCGGGCAGCCUGAUCUGGUGGGUGGCAGCCCUGCCCAUGGCAGGAGGUUUGAACUGGGUGGGCUUUGAAGUCCCUUCCAACCCAAACCAUUCUAGGCUUCUAUGAUUCAAUGAUUGCAUGGUUUUGUGAUAAGCCCCUUUAUUUUGUCUACGUGCAGUGGAGUACCUGCAUGUCUGAGAAGAAACUGAUGCCAUCUUUCCAUGUUACACAGUAUUUUGGAAAACAAAGCUAUAGAGAAACCUGAUUUAGGAAACCUUCCAUCACAGAAUUACCUUUAUAUAAGCAGUUGCUAACAUACAGAUCUCCCCCAGAAGCUGUACAGGUGGCAAUGCGUUUUGAGAUAUGCAAUAGGUCUGGUUGGCCAUCUUUUGUUUGUUUUCCACUAGAAAUUGGAUUUCAUAUAAUUUGAGUCAAAGAAUAUUAACACUUUUGAUAUUUCCUUGACUUCCAAAAAGCUAAGUCAACAUGCUUACAUGUGCAUCUUAUAUUAAAAUUGCAAGUAUUUUAUCUCUCUUUGGAUGUGCUGUGCUGCCCUCAUUUCCCUGCCUGAUUAGAAAUGGGCUUUUAUUUCCAGAAAAUAUCCUUCUCCAGGAGGGAAAUUAAUAUAUUUGUAUCUGAGAUACAGUUCUCCAUCAAGAUAAACCACAAUCUGAAGCUACAUAAAUUGCAGGACCCUCCAGCACUUCAUGAUAGCAGGCAAAUACGGUUAUCCUAUGACACAGACAAAUGCAUGAGGGGAAAGCGAGCUACUGACUUGCCCAAAAGGUAGUCAAUGGAAGAGGUGAAAAUUAUACCUUUUAAAAAAUACAGUGAUGUUCAGGCAAUUUGGAAAAUAUUUCUCUGCCCUAAAAAAAAGUACAGCUCAAGCUGAAAUCAAAUGUGGUAGGAGCGGUGUGAAAGGCUGCCGCAGGUUCUAAGAAUAAUGAUGCCACACAUCCUGAAGAUUACUGCGCUCUUCCCUCCCUGCUUUUAUCUCUAUGGCCAUGCCCCAGAGUUAGAAAGUGGCACCCUUCAAAUCAGAACUCCAGAUUUUGCAGUCCACAGAAUUCAUUCAUUUUGCUCCCUGGUACAAAAGGAGGGCUGGGGUGUUUUCCUGCAGCUUGCACUGAACCCAGCUGGAAGUUAAGGAAUGUCAAGGCAGCACGCAGCGGCUCCAUACCUGGUCAUGGUGCUGGGGUAGGGUGAUGUGAAUCCUGCUCUGGCCUAUGGGUCUCCAGGCUCCUCCAAGACUCUGCUGGGAGGAUCGUUGUUGCUGAAACAAUUCCUUUUGUUUUUCUUUUUUUUUCCCAUGUUACUGCAGUAAUAAAGAUUUUACAUGCUGCUGUCCCCUUAAAAUGGGGAAAUGAUCUGCAAGGUGAAGAUGAAUGUCCAAAGACUUUACUAAUUAAUUAAUAGACAAUUUACUUCAUAGCUGAUAAUAAUGAUUUAUUGGAAAUUAGACUAUCAUAUGUCACCUCAGGUGCUGCUGAUAAAUACCUUAAUGCAAACAGCUUUGAUACCACCUAACUCAGAUUUCCUUGGUCUGCCAUUCAAGAGCUAUUUGGAGCACGUGAAACAUUAGCUAAAUGUGUGCUUUCAAUGAUAGUAAGUACAGAAUUUUAAAAAAGAAAAAAGGCAGGACAUGAGUUUAGAAUUGUCAUUAUUAAUGAAAAGUUUGGUGGUUACACUGUAAAAGAUGUUACAUGUUUGGCUUUUUCCUCCAUCUUCAUUACGUCGCUUUCUGAGGUUAAAAGUUGGGAAGGUUGCAGGAAGCCAACUCUGCUACCCAAACU